rnacentral:tRNA from 1 species
AUUCAUUUAGUUUAAAAAAAUAUUUUAUUUUCAUUAAAAAGACGAGUAAAAAUCAAUGAAUU